rnacentral:lncRNA from 10 species
GAAGGGAGGGGUUUGGGCGCGGGAGCCGGGCAGGAGAAGACGGAAGUGGAGCGAGGACAAAAUGGCUGCGAAGGUUGUUGCUCCCCUCCCCCACCCACGUCCGAAUCCUCCUUUCCAUGCCCCACCUUCGUGUUCCAGACGGGCCUCUAAGUGCCCCGGGUUUCGCGAAUCUGUAUUUCAUAGCGUGGCUUUGGACAAGGGCUGACCCCGAGGGGCUGGGGCGAAGGUUCCGGCUUCAGGGUGCCACUAGGGCUGCUCGCUCACGGCCCCCCAGGAUUGGGAUUGGAGGGAGCCGCCAGGCCGCCGCGGGGUGGGGCGGGUUAGCUCGGCAGGCCUCCCAGCACCUGCAUUUCCCUACGGCAACUGUCGGGAGGCAGCCCCCGACGCAGAGGUUUAAGGGGCCCGGCUUUUCAGAACCGCCUCAGGACGCGGUCGUGUCUGGAUCCCUCCGCGGAAAAGAAGGCGAAACCGCUUCUCUGAGCCCUGACCGUUAGGCCCCUUCCCACCUCCGUCUAGAACAGAUUCGGCUUCUUGGCUCAGUCCUUCCCCAACUAGCCCAAGCCCUACAUUUCCCCGUUGUUUAUAAAAUAAACAGGUUUAAAUGGU